CUUCACGCUCGCUCAACUCUGCACAGCGUUACAAAUGUGCCACAAUUCCAGCCAAUCACAGACUUCUGAUUCUAUCCAAUCGGGUCCCUGUUUCGGCCGCCUCUCGGAAGCGCUGUUAAAAACGAUCGCUAAAUCAACUGGAGUUCUGCUAUAUACGCUGGACUACGACAGAUUUUCGAGCCACUGGACCCUCGUUUAAUUAGCCAAGAUUAGCAAAGCUGUACCAUGUCGGAUCCUGAACGGCAACACAACGGUGCACCACAUCCACAUGUCUUGUACUUGGAUGCUGCAACAAAUAACAAAGCACAAACUGCAUUCUCAUUCUUCAUCACAUCGGUCCAGCUUCAUGGCUUACCGUCAAGGGUUAGGGCAGAUCAGGGAGUAGAAAACCUGGAUAUUGCACAUUUCAUGUUUGCCACACGAGGAACAGGAAGAUCGAGCUUCAUCUCUGGAAAAAGUACCAUGACAUUCUUCACUCUCUGGAAGAGGAUGGUCUACUUGACAUAUCUGAUGCCACUCUUCUCUUUGGUGUGCACUACGUCUUUGUCCCCGACUCCGGGCAGAUCUUGAUACCUUUAUUGAAGGAUGGAAUAAUCAUUCUCUGCGGACAGAGGGAGGUCUCACCCCUGAACAGCUGUGGUUCAUGGGACGUCUACAAGAUCUGGAUGAGGGGGAGAGACUCAAGGACCUUCAGGACCUUCAGGACCUUCAGGACCCAGGCGUUGACUGGCAGAGUGCUGCGCUGCAGGAAGACUCUCAUGGCACAGUUGUGGUUCCUGAAUUUGAGUGCCCACUGGAUGAUGAAGCCCUGGAAGAACUUCAGAGAACUAUCAACCCUCUGGAACACUCAGAGUCACAUGGUCGUGACUAAUACUUAAGGUUCUUGCAACAGGUGUCCAACCAAUAGACAUUUGGACAAGAACUUGAAAGUCAACAAAUAUUCCAGCACAGUGACAAAAAUUAUUGAAGCUUUUCUAACUAAUAAAAGCAAGAGAACCCUGUAUAAAGGGAAUUUGUAUGACUGAAGAGGAAGUCAAACACUGAGCUAACAGGAACAAUUGUUUUGCUUUUUUCAUUAGCUAUGAACAUAUUCUAUCAGUUAAUGUUUAGAAAUAGCUUCUCAUUUUUUGUUUCAGAUUACCAGAGAGCUGUUUCUGUUAAACUCUGUGGAAGCCACCACCAUAUCUAACUGCUUCACUCAUAAGUCUUCUGAAUUCAGUGUAAGUGUUGAGAUGCUGCACUGGAAAAGUUACUGUACGAGUGCAUGCACUCACAGUUUGGUAACAAAUGGAGUGAUCUCCAAGUGGCUCCCUGCAGUCGUGGUCAAACAUGAAUAUUAUUUUGAAAUGUCUCUUUUCAUCAGGGAGGAUGGGAAUGUGGGCUUACCUGGUCAACCACUGGAGCACAUGCUGAACUCCAAGAGAGUGGGGCUCCUCAACUGCAGCACUGUGAUGUUUAAAAUAUAAGAAAUAAAACAUGUUACAAACAAUUUGAACUAAGGAAUUUCAAUUUAAAUAAUCAUGUAGUAAUCGUGUAAUCAUCUUAUAGCCUGGUUAUUAUCAUCCUGGAAGAGACAACCCUGUCAUGAUAAGUGUGAGCACUCAGAACUACUUUGUUCUGAUUUGCUGUGACGCUUGCUUCUGGUGUGUUAGAUAGCUAUAUGUUAUUGCCAUUCAAUUUUGGUUAUAUAGAAAUAAAUUGUUAAUAAAGUAACCUUGUUCGGGGUGGGAUUAAAUAAGUUCUGUCUUCUUCCCACUCCCUUUCGAACAUGUAUGAUUUGUAAAUUUAUGUGAUGCCUUGUUUUAGCUGCGGUUUUAUUUUG